rnacentral:ncRNA from 1 species
UGACCUCGGAUCAGGUAGGAAUACCCGCUGAACUUAAGCAUAUCAAUAAGCGGAGGAAAAGAAACCAACAGGGAUUGCCCUAGUAACGGCGAGUGAAGCGGCAACAGCUCAAAUUUGAAAUCUGGCCUUCGGGUCCGAGUUGUAAUUUGUAGAGGAUGCUUUUGGCGCGGUGCCUUCCGAGUUCCCUGGAAUGGGACGCCUUAGAGGGUGAGAGCCCCGUAUGGUUGGACACC